rnacentral:rRNA from 1 species
GAUGAACGCUGGCGGCGUGCCUAAUACAUGCAAGUCGAGCGAACGGACGAGAAGCUUGCUUCUCUGAUGUUAGCGGCGGACGGGUGAGUAACACGUGGAUAACCUACCUAUAAGACUGGGAUAACUUCGGGAAACCGGAGCUAAUACCGGAUAAUAUUUUGAACCGCAUGGUUCAAAAGUGAAAGACGGUCUUGCUGUCACUUAUAGAUGGAUCCGCGCUGCAUUAGCUAGUUGGUAAGGUAACGGCUUACCAAGGCAACGAUGCAUAGCCGACCUGAGAGGGUGAUCGGCCACACUGGAACUGAGACACGGUCCAGGCUCCUACGGGAGGCAGCAGUAGGGAAUCUUCCGCAAUGGGCGAAAGCCUGACGGAGCAACGCCGCGUGAGUGAUGAAGGUCUUCGGAUCGUAAAACUCUGCUAUUAGGGAAGAACAUAUGUGUAAGUAACUGUGCACAUCUUGACGGUACCUAAUCAGAAAGCCACGGCUAACUACGUG